UUGAAGGUGAAAGUCGUAACAAGGUCUCCGUUGGUGAACCAGCGGAGGGAUCAUUAC
rnacentral:rRNA from 1 species